UGUGUUGUCCCAGCGAUGGUACAUGCCACAUCUAUCAGAGUCAACAAUGGAAGGACACACAGGUUUAUUGAAACUCUUGCUGCUUGGCUCAGGGUUAACUUACUUUGUAUUAUCUGCUGUGCUGACAGAAUGUGACGUUCUUAAAAAUCAAGACCACCUUAUUAUCUUCGGACACGAGGGAAAUUUUUCUCAUGAUCUAUGUACACUACUGGAGGCGCCCCUGUAUGUUUGGAUUGAUAAAGGUUGGACACAUGUUAACAAUAAGACACAAAAACCGUACUUCAGUAUCCGAACAGUCACGAUUAAGAAUACAAAUACGAAUCUGCUGACAUACCAUAAUAACUUUUUUUCGACGAGCGAUUUGAAACCACUAGAAGUCAUGUUUCGGCAAAAUGGGAACUACAAAAGUCUGAAAUUGCAUUUUAAGACACCAGGGUUUUACUUUUUGUCAAGUGUUGAGAGGGGACAUUUCACCGGGUCAAGGGUUAACCCUGCUGUGUGCCUCCAGCGAUCACCCUCCCACUGAUCUAACCAUCGUUAAACAAGGACAACACCAACAUCUGCCAACAUCGAUCUUCUACAGCAGCUUGAAGUUUGUGAUCAAACCUUUCAGCUGUGAGGAUACGGGGAUCUACCUCUGCUACAUCAACCAAACAAACUACAUCAGCAAGUCGGUAACUGUGACCUCCCG